UUUAUUAUUAUUAUUGAAUUUAUACUAAACUAGAACUAUUCGCAAAAUAAAUUAAUUAUUUUAGGUUUCAAACAACUUCAUAGCAAAAGAAAUACAUUUACAUAAAUUAAAAAUUCAUGUAAAAUCUCAAACUUUUUACCUUCAAACAUUAACCUCGCCAUCAUAAAUUUAUAAAUUUCAGUCCCUUUUUGAAAUUUGUUUUAAAUAAAUUUAGAUCAUAAAACAAAAUAAACUUUUUUGAAUUAAAUAAGUAAAUUUGUUUUGUAGAAACAUAGUUAAUUCAAUCCAAUUGAAUCUAUAAAAGCAAAAAGGAGUUAUUAAUUCAGAAACGAAAGGGGAGCAUGCAAAAUACGAGAAUCGACUUUUAAUCGUUCGUUAAAUCUGUUUUAAUCGUUCGUUAAAUCAUAUCAAGCUGCCUACACUCCCAAUUUUGAGAAAGUUCCUUUUCAACUUUUUCCCCAGUUCAUUCCGUUUCUCAGUCUGAAGUUACAGCCAAUCACAUUACUUCGACUUACGUUCAAUGUUUACAAUAGAGCGUCAUGGAAAGAAUGAAGCAUAUUAUGGGGAGAAAUAUUUUACUGAAUGGAAUGCAUGACAAGACUUGUAUUUGGGGUACAUGGAGAAGAAAACCAGGCAAACAUGUCACGGUUAGUCUGGCGUCAUGAUCCGUCUACCACUAAGGAUAUUUUACGUCAGCACUGUGGUCAGUGCAAACUUUCUAUUCCUUGAGCCAUUGCGACAUUUCUGGAUAUGAUAAAGCUGAUCACUUCACAAAUACUGCUGUUAAUUUCCUCCACUCGUUUUUACUCUCCACCAUUUGAUGAUAUCUUCUCCACCAUUGUAAGAGUGAUAGACUAAAAUAUAAUGAAUGAGCCAGACGUGGAUGCUGCGAAAAAGAUUUGGUUAGGCCUCCUCUGCAAUGCUUUGCCAAGUUUUUUAUCUAGAGCAUUUCUUCUACCGGAUACUAUUUUGAAAUAACCGUUACUAUUGCUCUGAAUUAUUUUGACUGUGUUAAGUAGUGAAAAUUGAAAAAGAGUGUGUGAUUCGGUUUUUUCGAAAUUUGAAAUAUGUUUUAAUUUAAAAGUUCUGUGCGAAACAUGUGAACUUUUUUUAUAAAUACCUACAUUACACGAGUCUUAAUAUACUCUUCACUCUGUAUAGCAAAUUUAUCUGUAUAUUAUUACCUUUUACUAUGACGUUUUAUUAUUUUCUCUUAAUAAUGCUAAUUUUAUUUAAUUUUAAACUAUAAUUUUUUGCAAAUUUGGAUUAGGUUAUUCUUACUGUUUAAUUUCCCAUUGUAUUAAGUAUGAUUUUCCAUUAUAAUUUUGCUGCUGUU